GAUCCUGGCUCAGGACGAACGCUGGCGGCGCGCCUAACACAUGCAAGUCGAACGAGAGAGAGGGAGCUUGCUUCCUCGAUCGAGUGGCGAACGGGUAAGUAACGCGUGAGGAACCUGCCUCAAAGAGGGGACAACAGUUGGAAACGACUGCUAAUACCGCAUAAGCCCACGACCCGGCAUCGGGAAGAGGGAAAGAGCAAUCCGCUUUGAGAUGGCCUCGCGUCCGAUUAGCUAGUUGGUGAGG
rnacentral:rRNA from 1 species